UAAUUUAGUUCAUCACAUAUGAAAUAAACACUGAAAUCAUAAAAGAAUCCAUCAUCCCAAUUACAAUAACUGAAUUAAAGAAGUAGAAUGAAUACAAAACCACCCUUCUUCUUCUCUCCAACUUGUAAUUUUCAUGACUCGAACCUUCAAUCCUUCCUCCAAUGCAAUUUUCUCAAAUUAGGGUUCUAGAUUGUUAAUUGAUUCAAUGUUGUUAUCUUCUCUUGUUGUCUAUGUUAAUCUCCAGCACAAGACACGUAUUUAGUCCAUAAACUGACGCCAAUCGGAGUCCCAAGCCAUGCCAACUUCCUUACUAGACGUUGUUGCAGAACUCUACUUGAAUCAUA
rnacentral:lncRNA from 1 species